UACAGAGGUCUCAAGCGUUGUUCGGAUUCAUUGGGCGUAAAGGGUGUGUAGGUGGCGCCGUAAGUCGGGUGUGAAAUUUCGGAGCUUAACUCCGAAACUGCAUUCGAUACUGCGGUGCUUGAGGACUGGAGAGGAGACUGGAAUUCGAUGGUGAGCAGUGAAAUGCGUAGAGAUCAUGAGGAAGACCAGUGGCGAAGGCGGGUCUCUGGACAGUUCC
rnacentral:rRNA from 1 species